rnacentral:rRNA from 1 species
GAUGAACGCUGGCGGCGUGCCUAAUACAUGCAAGUCGAGCGAACAGACGAGGAGCUUGCUCCUCUGACGUUAGCGGCGGACGGGUGAGUAACACGUGGAUAACCUACCUAUAAGACGGGGAUAACUUCGGGAAACCGGAGCUAAUACCGGAUAAUCUAUUGAACCGCAUGGAUCAAUAGUGAAAGGCGGUUUUUCUGUUACUUAUAGGUGGAUCCGCGUCUUACUAGGUAGUUGGGUAGGUAACGGCUCACCAAGGCAACGAUACGUAGCCGACCCGAGAGGGUGAUCGGCCACACUGGGACUGAGACACGGCCCAGAACCCUACGGGGGGCAGCAGUAGGGAAGUUUCGGAAAAGGGCGGAAGGCUGACCGAGCAACGCCGCGGGAGGGAAGAAGGUUCUCGGAUCGUAAAGCUCGGUUGUACGAGAAGAACGAAUGGGAGAGUGGAAAGUUCACACUGUGACGGUACCUUACCAGAAAGGGACGGCUAACUACGUG